AUUGAACGCUGGCGGCAUGCCUUACACAUGCAAGUCGAACGGCAGCACGGAGCUUGCUCUGGUGGCGAGUGGCGAACGGGUGAGUAAUAUAUCGGAACGUACCCUGGAGUGGGGGAUAACGUAGCGAAAGUUACGCUAAUACCGCAUACGAUCUAAGGAUGAAAGUGGGGGAUCGCAAGACCUCAUGCUCCUGGAGCGGCCGAUAUCUGAUUAGCUAGUUGGUAGGGUAAAAGCCUACCAAGGCAUCGAUCAGUAGCUGGUCUGAGAGGACGACCAGCCACACUGGAACUGAGACACGGUCCAGACUCCUACGGGAGGCAGCAGUGGGGAAUUUUGGACAAUGGGCGCAAGCCUGAUCCAGCAAUGCCGCGUGAGUGAAGAAGGCCUUCGGGUUGUAAAGCUCUUUUGUCAGGGAAGAAAAGGCUACGGAUAAUACCUGUGGCUCAUGACGGUACCUGAAGAAUAAGCACCGGCUAACUACGUGCCAGCAGCCGCGGUAAUACGUAGGGUGCAAGCGUUAAUCGGAAUUACUGGGCGUAAAGCGUGCGCAGGCGGUUUUGUAAGACUGUCGUGAAAUCCCCGGGCUUAACCUGGGAAUGGCGAUGGUGACUGCAAGGCUAGAGUUUGGCAGAGGGGGGUAGAAUUCCACGUGUAGCAGUGAAAUGCGUAGAUAUGUGGAGGAACACCGAUGGCGAAGGCAGCCCCCUGGGUCAAAACUGACGCUCAUGCACGAAAGCGUGGGGAGCAAACA
rnacentral:rRNA from 1 species